rnacentral:rRNA from 1 species
GAACGCUGGCGGCGUGCUUAACACAUGCAAGUCGAACGGUGAACACGGAGCUUGCUCUGUGGGAUCAGUGGCGAACGGGUGAGUAACACGUGAGCAACCUGCCCCUGACUCUGGGAUAAGCGCUGGAAACGGCGUCUAAUACUGGAUAUGUGACGUGACCGCAUGGUCUGCGUCUGGAAAGAAUUUCGGUUGGGGAUGGGCUCGCGGCCUAUCAGCCUGUUGGUGAGGUAAUGGCUCACCAAGGCGUCGACGGGUAGCCGGCCUGAGAGGGUGACCGGCCACACUGGGACUGAGACACGGCCCAGACUCCUACGGGAGGCAGCAGUGGGGAAUAUUGCACAAUGGGCGCAAGCCUGAUGCAGCAACGCCGCGUGAGGGACGACGGCCUUCGGGUUGUAAACCUCUUUUAGCAGGGAAGAAGCGAAAGUGACGGUACCUGCAGAAAAAGCGCCGGCUAACUACGUGCCAGCAGCCGCGGUAAUACGUAGGGCGCAAGCGUUAUCCGGAAUUAUUGGGCGUAAAGAGCUCGUAGGCGGUUUGUCGCGUCUGCUGUGAAAUCCGGAGGCUCAACCUCCGGCCUGCAGUGGGUACGGGCAGACUAGAGUGCGGUAGGGGAGAUUGGAAUUCCUGGUGUAGCGGUGGAAUGCGCAGAUAUCAGGAGGAACACCGAUGGCGAAGGCAGAUCUCUGGGCCGUAACUGACGCUGAGGAGCGAAAGGGUGGGGAGCAAACAGGCUUAGAUACCCUGGUAGUCCACCCCGUAAACGUUGGGAACUAGUUGUGGGGUCCAUUCCACGGAUUCCGUGACGCAGCUAACGCAUUAAGUUCCCCGCCUGGGGAGUACGGCCGCAAGGCUA